UGGUAGGACCAGGCUAGAUCCUUGCAGCACUAUUCUGAACAUAGUGCAGUCUCUGCAGGCUUUUGUUAGGGAUCCCGAUGAGAAGUGCGUUACAGUAAUCCAGUCUGGAGGAGACAAAGGCAUGGACCAGUUUUUCAGCAUCUGCUAAGGUGAGUGCCCUCCAGGAGGCGCUACAGGAGCCUCUGUUCCAGCCCACCUGCUGCUGCUGAAUGUUCCUUUUUUUGGUUCAUGCUUCAUGAUGAUGAUGAUAACAGGUAAACAGCCUAACCCAUUUCAUUGUUUCAUUGCAUUGAUUCAGAUGUAGAUUGUAUCUUUUGUUUAGAAGUUGUUUUUUAUACUUAUCUUUUAAGUUAAAGGCAUACUAUGUAACUUUUCCCUCUUCGGUCCUCCUACAGGUUGUCUCAUUAGAACUACAGCUCACUCGGCUGUAGUUCUAAUGAGACAACCUGUAGGAGGACCGAAGAGGGAAAAGUUACAUAGUAUGCCUUUAAAGUAGCAAUACCACAGUGUAAAAAUACUCCAUUAAAAGUAAAAGUACUCAUAAAAAGUUGACAAUAUAUGAUACAUUAUGAAAGUGAAUUAUUAUUGCAGAUGGUGAGUAAGCAGCAUUGUAUUGUUGUAGCUAGUCGAGAGGCAGCUCAUGUCACGCCCCCGCCUGCCGUGACUUCUGCACGGUGACAGUCUAGUGUGUGUGUGAGUGUGUGAAUGUGUUUUGGUUUAUUUCUUCAUUUUGUUAUGCCUGCCGUGUGUUUGGUGUGUUUGGUGUGUGUGUGUGUGUUUUUUUGUCUGUGUUUCUGUUCCCGCCUACAUUUUCCACAGAGUGAGGACACGCCCCCCCUGUUGAUUCUCCCCACACCUGGUACCAACUCCAAUCAGCGCACCUGCUACUCAUCCUGCUCCAUCAUCUGCCUUCAAAUGCCAGUCGGACUUUCCUCUCCCUGCCGGAUUGUUGCUUACCACUGAAAAUAACCCACCUUUGGAAUCCUCUGCUGCCAAUAGCGCACUGGAACAUCAAGGAACACAGCCCAGCACCCUCUCUGCCAGUCCAGCCAUCUUCAGACCCAGCACCCCCACUGCCAGUCCAGCCAUCUUCGGACCCAGCACCCUCUCUGCCAGUCCGGCCAACUUCGGACCCAGCACCCC